CUCACGCACACCCCCUCCCUUCUCUUCCCCAUUCUCGGCCUCCCCUCUCUCUCUCUAUACUCUCUUUUCCUCCAUUGAUGUCCAUUGAAGAAAGCUUAGAGAAGCUUCAUCAAACACUACUAUGAGAUAAUCCACCAUCCAAUCCAAUCAAACACUAUCAUAUCUCAUCAAAUUCAAGAAGCUAGAACUAAGAUCAAAGUUGGAGCAAAGUCUUGAUCACCUUUUAAAUCCUUGAGAUAAGCGGAGGGGGAGUAUGGUGCGGUGCUGGUGGAGAAUGUUUCGGGUUGACGUUUUCUUUCUCUAUCGUAUGUCUGUUUUGUCGAUAGAGUUUUGAUAUGAAGUUAUGUUAAAUAGAGUUUGAUGUUUAAGAUACUUAAUUUCCUUUGAAAAUCAAGCAAUACACUCACGGUUAUAUGUCUUCAUACAUAUAAUCGAUUCGCCUUUUGCUGCGAUACUCUGCAUAUUAUUCUUCAUUAUGAAAAAUGAGCUAUACCCGUUUUGUUUUUGUU